CAGUAUAACCCCUGCUCACCAAGGCUUUCAAGGACCCCACACUGAUAAAAUGUACUUCUGUGAUCUAUGUGCUGCCUCCUGUGAUGUGGACUUGGAUGAUACAGGAAAACGCCAAAUGCUCCGCCAUGGGUUCAGAGACGUGUGCUGACCACAGGGAAAUGUAGGCUGCUACCACCCUAUAACACUACAGGCCCUACAGCCUCUACACUUGCAGCCUCUUCUCUGGGAGUGUUUUCUCAAGGCUAGCUAGCAAAGCCACAGCCCUGAAAAAGGUGUCUCUUCCCCAUCACCUACCAAAUUUUCACGCUUGUGUUGGGGCACAAGACUUUAAAAUAAAUGAUUGUGAUUUUUUUUU